GAAAAGAGUACCGUCAAUGAUCCACCA
rnacentral:sRNA from 1 species